rnacentral:rRNA from 1 species
AUUGAACGCUGGCGGCAGGCUUAACACAUGCAAGUCGAGCGGAGAUGAGGUGCUUGCACCUUAUCUUAGCGGCGGACGGGUGAGUAAUGCUUAGGAAUCUGCCUAUUAGUGGGGGACAACAUUCCGAAAGGAAUGCUAAUACCGCAUACGCCCUACGGGGGAAAGCAGGGGAUCUUCGGACCUUGCGCUAAUAGAUGAGCCUAAGUCGGAUUAGCUAGUUGGUGGGGUAAAGGCCUAACAAGGCGACGAUCUGUAGCGGGUCUGAGAGGAUGGUCCGCCACACUGGGACUGAGACACGGCCCAGACUCCUACGGGAGGCAGCAGUGGGGAAUAUUGGACAAUGGGCGGAAGCCUGAUCCAGCCAUGCCGCGUGUGUGAAGAAGGCCUUUUGGUUGUAAAGCACUUUAAGCGAGGAGGAGGCUACCUGGAUUAAUACUCUAGGAUAGUGGACGUUACUCGCAGAAUAAGCACCGGCUAACUCUGUGCCAGCCGCCGCAGUAAUAC